AUUGAACGCUGGCGGCAGGCCUAACACAUGCAAGUCGAGCGGAUGAAGGGAGCUUGCUCCUGGAUUCAGCGGCGGACGGGUGAGUAAUGCCUAGGAAUCUGCCUGGUAGUGGGGGAUAACGUCCGGAAACGGGCGCUAAUAUCGCAUACGUCCUGAGGGAGAAAGUGGGGGAUCUUCGGACCUCACGCUACCAGAUGAGCCUAGGUCGGAUUAGCUAGUUGGUGGGGUAAAGGCCUACCAAGGCGACGAUCCGUAACUGGUCUGAGAGGAUGAUCAGUCACACUGGAACUGAGACACGGUCCAGACUCCUACGGGAGGCAGCAGUGGGGAAUAUUGGACAAUGGGCGAAAGCCUGAUCCAGCCAUGCCGCGUGUGUGAAGAAGGUCUUCGGAUUGUAAAGCACUUUAAGUUGGGAGGAAGGUCAGUAAGUUAAUACCUUGCUGUUUUGACGUUACCAACAGAAUAAGCACCGGCUAACUUCGUG
rnacentral:rRNA from 1 species